rnacentral:antisense_RNA from 1 species
CUUGAUCGACCCGAGCCACAGUGGACGCUCGGGAUCCCUUCCCUUGCCGUAGGUCGCCAACACGGCCUGAGCCUC